CCUUGCUUGCCACUCUGAACAAGCCCAAUCCUAUCUGAUUUCGGAAGCUAAGCAGGGUCAGACCUGGUUAGUACUUAGACGGGAGACCGCCUAGGAAGACCAGGUGCUGCAGGCA
rnacentral:rRNA from 1 species